rnacentral:rRNA from 1 species
UCCAGACUCCUACGGGAGGCAGCAGUGGGGAAUAUUGCACAAUGGGGGAAACCCUGAUGCAGCAACGCCGCGUGAGUGAGGAAGUCAUUCGUGAUGUAAAGCUCUAUCAGCAGGGAAGAAAAUGACGGUACCUGAGUAAGAAGCCCCGGCUAACUACGUGCCAGCAGCCGCGGUAAUACGUAGGUGGCAAGCGUUGUCCGGAUUUACUGGGUGUAAAGGGCGUGUAGCCGGGUUGACAAGCCAGAUGUGAAAUCCUGCGGCUUAACCGCAGAACUGCAUUUGAAACUGUUGAUCUUGAGUACUGGAGAGGCAGACGGAAUUCCUAGUGUAGCGGUGAAAUGCGUAGAUAUUAGGAGGAACACCAGUGGCGAAGGCGGUCUGCUGGACUGCAACUGACGUUGAGGCCCGAAAGCGUGGGGAGCAAACAGGAUUAGAUACCCGCGUAAA